GACGAACGCUGGCGGCGUGCCUAACACAUGCAAGUCGAACAGUGAAGCGCCUACCUUUUUGGUGGGAGUGGAUGGGCGGCGAACGGGGGAGUAACACGUGAGCAACCUGCCCCCUCCUGCAGGACAACCGCAUGAAAGUGUGGCUAACACGGGAUAUUCUGGGUCUGUUGCAUGAUGGGUCUGGGACAGAUUUGGUUUCGGUGGGGGAUGGGCUCGCGGCCUAUCAGCUUGUUGGUGGGGUGAUGGCCUACCAAGGCGGUGAGGGGUAGCCGGCCUGAGAGGGUGGACGGUCACACAGGGACUACGCGGCGGCGCAGCCUCCGACAGGCAGCAGUAGUGAAGCAUAUUGCACGAGCGGCGGCUGGCUGAUGCAGCGCCGCGUCGUGAGUGAUGGUCUCCGUCUCGUUGUGAACCUCUUUCGCCAGUGAACCAGUCUGUCCUCGUUUGUGCGUGUCUUGACGGUACCUGGACAAAAAGCGCCGGCUAACUACGUG
rnacentral:rRNA from 1 species